AUUUUGACUGUGCAAAGGUAGCAUAAUCAUUAGUCUUUUAAUUGAGGACUGGUAUGAAUGGUUUAACGAAGUAUUAACUGUCUCAUUUUAAUAAGUUGAAAUUAACUUUUGAGUUAAAAGGCUUAAAUGGAAUUAAAGGACGAGAAGACCCUAUAGAGCUUUAUAAAUUUAGUGUUAGAUAUAAUUUGGAAGUAUUAUUAAAUUUAAGUAAAAAAUUUAUUUUAUUGGGGUGAUAUGAAGAUUUAAUAAACUCUUUAUAGUAAUUAAACAUAGAUAAAUGAAUAAUUGAUCCAUUUUUAGUGAUUAUAAGAUUAAGUUACCUUAGGGAUAACAGCGUAAUGUUUUUUGAGAGUUCUUAUCAACAAAAAAGAUUGCGACCUCGAUGUUGGAUUAAGGAAAAGGUUGGG
rnacentral:rRNA from 1 species